rnacentral:rRNA from 1 species
CCUACGGGGGGCUGCAGUGGGGAAUAUUGGACAAUGGGCGAAAGCCUGAUCCAGCCAUGCCGCGUGUGUGAAGAAGGCCUUCGGGUUGUAAAGCACUUUCAGUGGGGAAGAAAGCCUUGGGGCUAAUACCCUCGAGGAAGGACAUCACCCACAGAAGAAGCACCGGCUAACUCCGUGCCAGCAGCCGCGGUAAUACGGAGGGUGCGAGCGUUAAUCGGAAUUACUGGGCGUAAAGCGCGCGUAGGCGGUCUGAUAAGCCGGUUGUGAAAGCCCCGGGCUCAACCUGGGAACGGCAUCCGGAACUGUCAGGCUAGAGUGCAGGAGAGGAAGGUAGAAUUCCCGGUGUAGCGGUGAAAUGCGUAGAGAUCGGGAGGAAUACCAGUGGCGAAGGCGGCCUUCUGGACUGACACUGACGCUGAGGUGCGAAAGCGUGGGUAGCAAACAGGAGUAGAUACCCCUGGUC